rnacentral:rRNA from 1 species
GACGAACUUUGGCGGCGUGCUUAACACAUGCAAGUCGAACGGAAAGGCCCUGCUUUUGUGGGGUGCUCGAGUGGCGAACGGGUGAGUAACACGUGAGUAACCUGCCCUUGACUUUGGGAUAACUUCAGGAAACUGGGGCUAAUACCGGAUAGGAGCUCCUGCUGCAUGGUGGGGGUUGGAAAGUUUCGGCGGUUGGGGAUGGACUCGCGGCUUAUCAGCUUGUUGGUGGGGUAGUGGCUUACCAAGGCUUUGACGGGUAGCCGGCCUGAGAGGGUGACCGGCCACAUUGGGACUGAGAUACGGCCCAGACUCCUACGGGAGGCAGCAGUGGGGAAUAUUGCACAAUGGGCGGAAGCCUGAUGCAGCAACGCCGCGUGCGGGAUGACGGCCUUCGGGUUGUAAACCGCUUUCGCCUGUGACGAAGCGUGAGUGACGGUAAUGGGUAAAGAAGCACCGGCUAACUACGUGCCAGCAGCCGCGGUGAUACGUAGGGUGCGAGCGUUGUCCGGAUUUAUUGGGCGUAAAGGGCUCGUAGGUGGUUGAUCGCGUCGGAAGUGUAAUCUUGGGGCUUAACCCUGAGCGUGCUUUCGAUACGGGUUGACUUGAGGAAGGUAGGGGAGAAUGGAAUUCCUGGUGGAGCGGUGGAAUGCGCAGAUAUCAGGAGGAACACCAGUGGCGAAGGCGGUUCUCUGGGCCUUUCCUGACGCUGAGGAGCGAAAGCGUGGGGAGCGAACAGGCUUAGAUACCCUGGUAGUCCACGCUGUAAACGGUGGGUACUAGGUGUGGGGUCCAUUCCACGGGUUCCGUGCCGUAGCUAACGCUUUAAGUACCCCGCCUGGGGAGUACGGCCGCAAGGCUAAAACUCAAAGGAAUUGACGGGGCCCCGCACAAGCGGCGGAGCAUGCGGAUUAAUUCGAUGCAACGCGUAGAACCUUACCUGGGUUUGACAUGGAUCGGGAGCGCUCAGAGAUGGGUGUGCCUCUUUUGGGGUCGGUUCACAGGUGGUGCAUGGCUGUCGUCAGCUCGUGUCGUGAGAUGUUGGGUUAAGUCCCGCAACGAGCGCAACCCUUGUUCACUGUUGCCAGCACGUUAUGGUGGGGACUCAGUGGAGACCGCCGGGGUCAACUCGGGGGAAGGUGGGGAUGACGUCAAGUCAUCAUGCCCCUUAUGUCCAGGGCUUCACGCAUGCUACAAUGGCUGGUACAGAGAGUGGCGAGCCUGUGAGGGUGAGCGAAUCUCGGAAAGCCGGUCUCAGUUCGGAUUGGGGUCUGCAACUCGACCUCAUGAAGUCGGAGUCGCUAGUAAUCGCAGAUCAGCAACGCUGCGGUGAAUACGUUCCCGGGGCU